rnacentral:sRNA from 1 species
UGGUUGGAUUUCAUCCCUUACUGGUCUCAACCAAAAUAUUCCUGUUGGAAUCAUGAUGAUAAUCAUAGCAGCACUUUUCACAGCAUCAGCAGUCAUUUCACUAGUUAUGUUCAAAAAAGUACAUGGACUGUAUCGCACAACAGGUGCUAGCUUUGAGAAGGCCCAACAAGAGUUUGCAACAGGUGUGAUGUCCAACAAAACUGUCCAGACCGCAGCUGCAAAUGCAGCUUCAACUGCAGCAUCUAGUGCAGCUCAGAAUGCUUUCAAGGGUAACCAGAUUUAAGAAUCUUCAAACAAUACACUGUUACCUUUUGACUGUACCUUUUUCUCCAGUUACUGUAUUCUACAAAUAUUUUUAUGUUCAAAACACACAGUACAGACAGCAUGGAUAUUUCCUGUUCACUUGUGCAUGGGCUAAAACCAGGAAAACUUCCUUGUCUUAUUACUUUACCUAAUAGUUUCUUAAUAUUUCAGUGCCCCUUGCAGAAAAAAUAUUACAUGCUAAAUAAAUAUUCUCCAUAUUUUUUGGGGGAUGACAUUCAGUGAAUUAUUUCAGUGGUGACCCACUGAAAAUUAAUAAUGGUACUUAUGAUUAAAAAUGCAUUUAAUACUAACUGCAGUAGUUCUUUCAAGAAUCUUUAGAGAUAAGGAUUGCACAUUGGAAAAGUAAACCAUGUUUCAUUCCUUUUUCCCUAUUUAUAUUGAAAGAAAUAGGCCAGCAGAGACUUAGGGAUUUUAAAUUGGCUUGCUUUUUAGCUGUUUCAGUCACCAGUGAAGAGCCUAUGUGCAUUUUGUAGUAGAUAAUGUAAAAUUUGUCAUCUUUUUCUUUUCUUUUUUUUAGAAUAGCUGAUAUUUUGAUAACAAUCUCUAAUUUGCAUGGGCACCACAUUUCUUAUAUUAAAAGAAUUAGUGUUUUGGCUUCUGUACUGCUUAUGGUUGUAGGAUUCAGGGGUUAAUGGAAUCACAGAAAUGAUAUUCUACAAGAAUUUCUUUUAAAUAAAAAGUUUGGGGGUGCAAUAUAAGAAGUUUAUAUAAUAUGCAGUACAUUAUCCAAAAGAGAAGGUAGUUAAUGCAGUAGAAAGUAGUGGUAAUAAUUCCUUUUUAAAAAAAAUUUCGGUAGUCAUAUAGUAACAUUUUGCUAUAUGAAAACUUUGGUAUAUUCUGUGGUUACAACUAAGAUUGUGUCUGGCAGCUCUUUUUUGGGGAUGUGUGUGUGUGAUUUUUAACAGAGGUAUUAAAGGCUAGCCUAACUGUUGUCUAAAAAGAAUGUACAGUAUUUAAGGGAUUUUCCUUUUAGCUUUUCAUCUCCAGUGGCAUUAAACAUAAAAAGACCCUGGCAUUUUUUCAUAUACUUGAAUCCCUAAAUGCACCUGUCUUUCACUUUUUGAGACAGACUGAAUAUAUCUAAAAUUUCCAGCAAUAAAAAAAAAGCAUUUAACUUGCAC